GAGAAGAGAAAAAAUCCCCUGGCUGGUUGCUGAUACUAUAUACUACACCCUUUAUCUAGACCCUCCCACGUUGAUUCCCCCCUCCCUCUCCAUCCGUUCACCCCACCGAGGGAUCCAUCCUUGUAGUACGCCACCCAUCAGCCUCCUCAUAUCGUUCCUCUCUUCGGUCUCUACACUGUGUGUGUGUGUGUGUGGGGUAGUUGACGUUGUCAAGCCAACGCCGGAGCGGCUACACUUGACUGAAAAAUCAAUGAUUUCCUCCGCCAUCAUCCCCAACUACCACCCCCUUUCUCUCCCCUUGUACAUCCAUCGCAUCCUCCUCCUUCCUUAUUUCGACUCGAUCCAUCUCCUCUCCUGCAACCCCACCCUAUGUGCGCGAGUUGUGCACGCUCCCUCUCCUUGAUGUAGCUCCUUUCUCCUCUUCUCUUUCGGGUUGUUGGCUCUUAUUCCGGUUUUCUCUUGUGCCCUGGCUUUCAUCACAUCCUCCUCCUUUGCCCGUUCAUCCUUCCGCCUCCGCUCUCUUCUCUCUUCGCUCCUUCGCCGUCAAUACUCUCGCGCCCGGCUCGUUCACCGUUCACCCGCCGCCGCCCGACUCCCUUUUCUGCCCGCGUCUUUUCGCUCCAUUCGCAUCCGCUAGGCCUCGCCUUUUCUCUCGUCUCGCCCGGCCCAUCAGGAGCGCAGCCGAAGCUCCUGAUGCAAACUCUAAUCGUUGCUCCUCUUCUCCGCCAUUCAAUCCGCCAGUUCUUCUUAUUCUUCUUUGAUAUGCCUAGCGACUGGUAGCGAGGACGACAUGGGCGACGCGGCCGUGUAGUAUAUAUCAACAAUUCCCCAUGCGUCUAUAUUCCGCCCCUUUGCCGGCUUGGCUUGUAUAGCCUUUAUUCCGUGUUCCGCUGGAUCAAUGAUCUAAUACUAUACACAACCCACUACCCUAUAGACUGUAGUAACUUCCACUAUAUAACUUGCAUCUCUUCCCAGAGUUCUUCUCCGACUUCUUUUUUUCUCUGCCUGGACUUUUUUCUGGCGUGUUUGGUGCUGGCUGCUGCUGAUGCAACUUGACUGAAUCAUUUUAGCCUAUACGUCGAUAUGUCGUCAACAUUCAUGUUCGCUUAUCCGGUACAAUAUGGCCAGAUUAUGAUUCCAUAUUUCUGCGCCGCAGCCAAAGAGUUGCAUGCGGGAAUGGCAUCGUAAAGGGGGGAAAAGUGAUGAGUCCAUCGAGAGGUGCCACUGCGUGAAUAGAUUAGAAUAUCGGGAAUGAGGCGCGACAAAAAACAUUUCUCAUCCGUAUAAAUGUACUACCGCCCCUGUUUUGUCUUUUUGAGAUACAUCCAAUCGACGAGUCUGUUUUUGUGCAGAGUAAAAAAGACAAUAGGAGCGAAACGUCAUCAUGGCGCACGUGACGAGGUCGAUUGCGUUUAGAAAAUGGGCCAUGGACCAUUUCGAGGUUUGGGGCUGCUGCUCCUGCUGCUGUUGCGGAUUAUUAUCACAAAAGAAGAAGACGUCGUCGUCGUCGCCUUUUGACUAGAACUGCUGCUGCUGCAAACACAAUUCACCUUGAUGGACGUUUCCCUUUUUCUUUUGCCUUUGCCAUUCUCUCGCUUUUAUUUCUCUCUCCAUUCUGUUUCGACCAACUGAUUGACAGAAAAAAGAGAACAAGAGAAAAAGAAUUGCGCAAGCGCGUCGUUUACAAAUCUCGCUAAGAAAAACAUACAUUCAACCAAACAGGCCCAACUAUUUUAUUCAUUAUUCGACGAAUGUGACCGGGUUCAACCGACCCAUUCCAAGAUACGCUACAAAAGUUUUCAUUUGACCCUUCUUUCUUUUUUUUCUGAUUAUUUUCACAAAGUGACAAAAUAAAAAUAUGGGGGAAGCCCAGACAUGCAAAUGUAUGGGGUAAAGGAACUUUGUUGUUCGGGGUCUUUUGAAAGUUGCUAGUCGCUAUAGAAUCUAGCAUUUGGAGUCCCGUGUGAUUUCGGUGUGUGUGUGACUGUGUGCACAGUCAUCAUAUUCCGUGUUGAUGGUGGGCACGAAUAGAAAUGGCCCGGCUUGAGCGCCUCUUGUGUUGUGUUUCCGUGUUGACCGUUAUCGAUUGGGGGGUGCAGCUUACGUACUCUCCUCUGUACUGUACGUACAGUCCCGGUCCGUCUCUUCUCUCUGGCUGGCCAUCAGCUCUUGUUGCCUAUAUUGCGCUGCUGCUGCUGCUGUUGCCGUCCUGAUUCAAUAGACUUUCCUUUUCCUUUUUCCCCCUUUUUUCUUCUAUUUCUUUGAUGGUCCUUUUUGGUCAUAGCACGCAGCUAUAGCUAGCCAAUCGCUCUUACAUAUAUAUAUUCUCCGUGCCCUAUAUAGCCUCUUGCAUUACGUGAUGUAUGUGCCAUUUUCGACGAGUGGAAAACUUGGAAGGAAGGAGCAAUCAAAGCGGAGCUACUCUAUAUUGACGAUCUAGAGGAAAAACAGAAACACACACACACUAGAGAGAGAGAGGAUGACAGCUACUAGUCAGGUCCUGCGCGCGCGCGCGCUCCUUACGGUAUAGUGCUGUGGGUCCUGUGUUUGUGUGUAUCUAUGUAAUAUUCAAACUUUUGGCGAGAAGGGAGAGGGGGAUGGAUGGAUUUAGGUCCGUCUGGCUAUGAAGCAGCAGUGCUACUUCAUCGAUCUUUUUUGGCCGAGAGAGAGAGAGAGAGUCAGAUAGAGGAAACGGAUAAUCCAAUUUACUUUUGCGCCAUCCAGUUUUGAUAAAAGCUCAACUUGCUCUGCCAACAUCAAACGCGCCAAAAGGCAACUUUUGGUUUCGCCGUGAACCCCUGGCUCCACUUUAUUGUUGCUGAUACUGUUGUCUGAUACAUUUGGCCAACCUUCGUGUUUUUUUGUUUUUUUUCUGCCCUUUAAGUCCGGCCAGUCUUUCCUUAUCAUCAGCAGCCGGGCUCUCACUGUCAAAAAGUUUUCCAUCCAAUAAAUAAAUAUCUCUCUCUCUCCUAUCCGGGGAACUGUAUACGUAAGCUUCACGGGAAACACCAAAUUGGCCAUGGGGCGUGGUGGUGGUGGUGGUUAGGUGGAGUUCGGCAGUACCGGUGCAACAAAAUGCCAUUCUCUAUCAGUGGCCAUGAUUAGCCGCGGGAAAAGGUGAAAUGUGCGUUGUUUUGUGCCUGCUGGCGCCGUUAUGUUCAAAAUUUGACAACUUGAUUUGUCGAUUUCUAUUUGUAUAUUUCUACGCGCACUGGAAAAAAAAAUUUUUCUUGGAGUAUUAGAGUAAUGUGUCACGAUUAAUUAACAAAUUGAUUGGGGUAAUGUCUGGAUAGUAAGUGAAAACGACUCCCCGGAAUAUAACCCUGUGGGUUGCGCACCUUUCUUCUUUUUCUUCUUCUUCUUUUUCUUUUCUCCGCUGUCUGUGUGAUCUAAUGGUCCGGUCUUGUAUUGCUUUUGCUGGAGAUUACGAGAAAUAGAAAGAGAAAGAUACAGCAAUCGCCAAGAGUAUUUAGGGAAAGGCAUAAAAGAAAAAAGAGGAGAGAAAGAAAAAAAAAAGGAGAAGUAGUAAUCAAUUUCCACAUUUAGUGUGCAGGGGCAGAAGGAGAGACCGUCCCGUAAUGAGAGUGGAUGUGAGCACAGCGGUAACGAACGCGACCCGCCCGGUAACCAAUGCACCGCGCGUGUCGCUCUUACUUGUACAACCUCAAAUAAAAACCCCAACCCUUUUUUUUCUUUCUUUUAGGCCUUCUCUCUUUCAUCGACGACCACCCACCGACCACUUUCCCGAUCGUUUUCUAUAUAUUAUUGUAAUCCGGACUAUAUCCCCUGCUAUGUACAGUUGCGUAUGCUCCGUCUCUUUUGUUCACGUCAACAUUGCAAAGUGUUAUUCUUUUGAAAAUAGACGGAGGCCUUGACAAUUGGUGGAUAGUACCAGCGAACUUGAAUACAAUCAGCCCCAACGAGGUCAAUCAAGUGAGUUGCUGUUCCACAUAUACGUAGUAGAACCAUCCAUCUGGCGCACAGACACAUCAAAACGCCCAACCGAGUUGACACGUUCGAUCAUUGUUUUAUUCGCUGUAGGCGCCACACGAGUUUGCGAAAGGGAUAGGAAGAAGAUAGCUAGACAAUUUAGGUUCGUGUUUCCACCGAGUUUCAUUUCGUUAAAAAGUAAUAUUUACAGCGGCCCAAUAUUGAGCAGCCUGGCGUGGAACAUAUUGCUUUUCGACGGGUGCAGGGAGUACAGAGGGAGCGGAUGCGUGGCGGAGCAUAUACCCAUCAUCAUGUCGUUGUUGUGAUAAUUAAGACGGAUAAGUAUACAAUAUAGAGGUGUGCUGGGAGUAUUUCUUAUAUUUUUAACCGCUCACCACGGAGGCAAUAGAAAAACUCGAGCUGGUAUUAAAAACGGCAAUCGUUUGGAGUUAUCCCGCUAUCAAAUUAUUCCUUCAAAGUGCCAAAAAAUGAGAUAGGUGAUGAAAUGGAGUGGUGACAUGUCAACGGAGAAUAACCCGACACAUUUUGCAUGACUAUAUGUAUAUUUACACCAUGCAGGGGUUGACACAAAUAUGACAUUUGCUGGUAAGGCGCGUAAUGGAGCGGUGACCACAUAAGAGGAUUCGUAGUACAAGAAGUAUGUCAAGGAGCGAGAACGGAAAAAUUUAACGAACACCCAAAUAUUCCUCCCCAAGUUCCUUCCUUUACAUGUUAAGUGUUAAAAAAAAGGGAAACAACCACAAAGUUGGCAACGUUUCCACCAUUAUAUCCUUUCCCCCUUUCUAUUGAACUUUGACUUUAUCGGACUUUAAGUUCACACAUAGUGAGACCUCUCGGCCGUAGCAGUUUAAACCUUUUUUAAAAUACAGAAUGGAUUGAAGGCAACUGCAUUUGAUGCCUUUUCCCCCUUUUUCAUUUGCACUGAUUAUUAUUAAAUUAUACAUUUUUUUUAGCGGAUAAAAAGUUAGGAAGAUCGUGUUCAAUAUCCUUUGACUCGCCAACUGGUAGAGUCGUUCUAUAAGCACACGGACCGCUGAACGAAUGGAGAUGGUAAAUAUGCGCCAUUAACUUGCUGUUCUCACUGAUGUUCAAUCGAGGGAAAUGAAAGAAAAAAGUAGAAGCAGAUGAUAACCGGACUGAUUCCGAUCAAAUGAGAAUUUUAUCAAAUGACGACAAAAAUAUGUGCUACCCCACCCACAUCCUACUGGGAAUGACCAGUCCUAUUUGUCUUUUAUCUCAGAAAUGUACUCCGAAAAGUUACCAAAAGGGUUUUUCUAAACAUUUUUUUUUUCUUUCCGUUUCCACUAGGAUUGCUUUAGUUGUCGAUCGUCUCGCUAGAUGGCACAAUCGAAAAGGUUAUUUAUACGCCGCUAGGUGGCUAAAAGUGUGUCCAACUCCAACACAGGUCCAACAGGUGGCGCGAUAAACACUAAUAUUCAUUCACAGUAUUCAGCCAUUUUUGUUGUGUUGGGUUUCCAACUUUCCUAGUGAAAUUUUGUUACUAUACAAUACAAUACAAUUUAAUUUCUCGACAUUUCGCGUCAUCAACAUUAAAAAGGUUUUCUAGCCUAUAAUUUCCAUUUGCAUUUGGUCAAAUGAUUUGAUCGGGCGAGUCUUGAAACCUUUGUAAAAUUUGCCGAAAUGUCGUGCCUGUACCAGCUGUCGUGUCACCUCCUGCAGAAACACUUUACAUGGAAAAUAUAUUGAAGUAAUUUUGAGACACUACAUAGUUUUGGUUACUCUCAGUAUGUCCAAUGUGUAGCAUCGCAUUGAUUGUUCGGAUGACGCUGAGCUACCUCAUAGCACUUCUGCCCGAUUCAGCCGUUCCGUCCAGUCAUGACAUCUAACAGCAUGUUGAAGUCUGAGCUUCUUCAAUGCAGUCCAAUGUGCUCAUGAAUUUGUUGCAGCCAGCUGGCGAAAGAUGUUCCUCUUCAAGGCUUGCAACCUGUGCUGGUUGUAAAUUUUGUCAUGUACAGAAACAAUUUUAAAGUGGUGCUGCCGUGUCAUGAAGAUGCCUGUUCGAGAGGGUCUCUACUAUAUUGCAAGACAGAAAUUAUGUGAUGAAAACAGGAAAUCUGAAAUGGUGUUCAUGGGGUAUUGCAGUCAUUUUCCAGUUAAGAGAUGUACUGAAAUGGAGCUUGUGCAGACUUGCAGUUCAACAUCAUACUUCAAUGUGUCAUUUGCUUCUGUUGGCCCAUGCAGUAUAUGCAGUGUUGAACAGUUGGUUAAAAUAGUCAAUGUCCUGUCGGGCUUAUUUUAUCGGCUGCGUUAUGUCGUCGACCCUUGCUACAGGCGUUGAGUUCAAUCGUUUGCUGCCGUUCCGUUCCAUAGACUUGAUCCAUCGGUGAACUGAGGUUGCUGAAAUUCAAGACUCUUCAAGAAAUUAUGUAGAUGUAGAUAAAAUUACAAGUGCAUAUCUGGGCUCCCUUCUUUUCUGUGGCCCCGUUUCCCUAACUAACCACUAACCAACGCCCGC